rnacentral:rRNA from 1 species
CGUUCAUUAAAGUCGAGUUGGCUUAGGGAUACGUUCGUUGGGUAGGGGAGCGUUCUGUAAGCCUGUGAAGGUGUGUCGUGAGGCAUGCUGGAGGUAUCAGAAGUGCGAAUGCUGACAUAAGUAACGAUAAAGCGGGUGAAAAGCCCGCUCGCCGGAAGACCAAGGGUUCCUGUCCAACGUUAAUCGGGGCAGGGUGAGUCGACCCCUAAGGCGAGGCCGAAAGGCGUAGUCGAUGGGAAACGGGUUAAUAUUCCCGUACUUGGUGUUACUGCGAAGGGGGGACGGAGAAGGCUAUGUUGGCCGGGCGACGGUUGUCCCGGUUUAAGCGUGUAGGUGUGUGUUCCAGGUAAAUCCGGUU